rnacentral:rRNA from 1 species
UACGUAGGGGGCAAGCGUUGUCCGGAAUCAUUGGGCGUAAAGAGCGUGUAGGCGGCCAGAAAAGUCCGCUGUGAAAACUCGAGGCUCAACUUCGAGCUGUCGGCGGAAACUUUCUGGCUAGAGUCCGGAAGAGGAGAAUGGAAUUCCUGGUGUAGCGGUGAAAUGCGUAGAUAUCUGGAGGAACACCGGUGGCGAAGGCGGCAUCCUGGACCGGCAUUGACGCUGAGGCGCGAAAGCCAGGGGAGCAAACAGG